UACAGAGGGUGCGAGCGUUAAUCGGAAUUACUGGGCGUAAAGCGCGCGUAGGCGGCUUUGCAAGUCGAGUGUGAAAUCCCCAGGCUUAACCUGGGAACUGCAUUCGAGACUGCAUGGCUAGAGUAUGGGAGAGGGAAGUGGAAUUUCAGGUGUAGCGGUGAAAUGCGUAGAUAUCUGAAGGAACAUCAGAGGCGAAAGCGGCUCACUGGUCCAUUACUGACGCUGAGGUGCGAAAGCGUGGGGAGCAAACAGG
rnacentral:rRNA from 1 species